rnacentral:ncRNA from 2 species
CGCUCAUCCAGAGGGGCAGAGGGAUACGGCCCGAUGAAGCCCCGGCAACCCUCCAGCCGAUUCUCGUCUUCUCGAAGCGAGGCUCCCGGCUAGGGAAGGUGCCAAAUCCGUCUCACGGCGAGAUGCGUCGUGAGGAAGAUGAGGA